GUGUUACUCCAGUAGCACAUAUACUAUAAUUGGAACGAUACAGAGAAGAUUAGCAUGGCCCACGCAAGGAAGGAUGACAAGCAAAUAUGUGAGGCAUUUCUCAUUCCU
ensembl:snRNA U6 U6 spliceosomal RNA